GCUCGUCUAGCUCACUUGGUAGAAUGCAAGGCUCUUAAUCUUGAGGUUGUGGGUUUGAGCCUCACUGUGGGUG
rnacentral:tRNA from 1 species